GAUGAACGCUAGCUACAGGCUUAACACAUGCAAGUCGAGGGGAAACGAUAGAGAAAACUUGCUUUUUCUAGGCGUCGACCGGCGCACGGGUGAGUAACGCGUAUCCAACCUGCCCACCACUUGGGGAUAACCUUGCGAAAGUAAGACUAAUACCCAAUGAUAUCUCUAGAAGACAUCUGAAAGGGAUUAAAGAUUUAUCGGUGAUGGAUGGGGAUGCGUCUGAUUAGCUUGUUGGCGGGGUAACGGCCCACCAAGGCUACGAUCAGUAGGGGUUCUGAGAGGAAGGUCCCCCACAUUGGAACUGGGACACGGUCCAAACUCCUACGGGAGGCAGCAGUGCGGAAUAUUGGUCAAUGGACGAGAGUCUGAACCAGCCAAGUAGCGUGCAGGAUGACGGCCCUAUGGGUUGUAAACUGCUUUUAUAAGGGAAUAAAGUGAGUCUCGUGAGACUUUUUGCAUGUACCUUAUGAAUAAGGACCGGCUAAUUCCGUGCCAGCAGCCGCCGUAA
rnacentral:rRNA from 1 species